UGAUUUCUGGGCUGCUUGUGAGUAUUCGGGUUCCCUUGGGCCUAAUUACUUUACCCGGGGGCGUGCGUGGGGGGAUUGUGUGCAUGACUGGUUCGCCGGUACGCCUGACGUUCUUCUCGUAGCUCCCACUUGAGCCGUCGGUUCAAGGUCAAUGUUUACCACCGCAGUCUGGUUUUCAU
rnacentral:other from 1 species